GACGAACGCUGGCGGCGUGCCUAACACAUGCAAGUCGAACGGAACUUACCGAAUGAAGUCUUCGGAUGGAUUUUGGUAAGUUUAGUGGCGGACGGGUGAGUAACGCGUGAGUAACCUGCCUUCAAGAGGGGAAUAACGUUCUGAAAAGAACGCUAAUACCGCAUAACAUACGGAUGUCGCAUGGCAACCGUAUCAAAGAUUUUAUCGCUUGAAGAUGGACUCGCGUCCGAUUAGCCAGUUGGCGGGGUAACGGCCCACCAAAGCGACGAUCAGUAGCCGGCCUGAGAGGGCGACCGGCCACAUUGGGACUGAGACACGGCCCAA
rnacentral:rRNA from 1 species